AUUGAACGCUGGCGGCAUGCCUUACACAUGCAAGUCGAACGGUAACAGGUCUUCGGAUGCUGACGAGUGGCGAACGGGUGAGUAAUACAUCGGAACGUGCCUAGUAGUGGGGGAUAACUACUCGAAAGAGUGGCUAAUACCGCAUGAGAUCUACGGAUGAAAGCAGGGGAUCGCAAGACCUUGUGCUACUAGAGCGGCCGAGGGCAGAUUAGGUAGUUGGUGGGAUAAAAGCUUACCAAGCCGACGAUCUGUAGCUGGUCUGAGAGGACGAUCAGCACACACUGGGACUGAGACACGGCCCAGACUCCUACGGGAGGCAGCAGUGGGGAAUUUUGGACAAUGGGCGCAAGCCUGAUCCAGCAAUGCCGCGUGCAGGAUGAAGGCCUUCGGGUUGUAAACUGCUUUUGUACGGAACGAAAAGCCCCGGGUUAAUACCCUGGGGUCAUGACGGUACCGUAAGAAUAAGCACCGGCUAACUACGUGCCAGCAGCCGCAGUAA
rnacentral:rRNA from 1 species